rnacentral:rRNA from 1 species
CACGUAGGGGCCAAGCGUUGUCCGGAUUUAUUGGGCGUAAAGAGCUCGUAGGCGGUUCGACAAGUCGGGUGUGAAAACUCCGGGCUCAACCCGGAGACGCCACCCGAUACUGUCGUGACUGGAGUCCGGUAGGGGAGUGGGGAAUUCCUGGUGUAGCGGUGAAAUGCGCAGAUAUCAGGAGGAACACCGGUGGCGAAGGCGGCCAUCUGGACGGAUACUGACGCUGAGACGCGAAAGCGUGGGGAGCAAACAGG